GGCCAACUGUUCUGCUCAAGAGAUGUGGAAAAGCAUGGUCCAACUAUUCUCCAGAGAGCACAGCCCUUCGGCAGGGGAGAGAGCCCGAUUCUAGUCACCAGCAGAUCUUGCAGCUGCUGGCCUGUUUGGAAAAGAGAGUGGAGGGCACAGAAGGCAUUCUCAAGGUGCCCAGAUGCCAGGCCAGGGUCAGGGUGCUAGGUUGGCUUCCUCCAACUCACCAGGGCUGUGUCGCCUCCCUUCACCCUGGCAGGUGGGCUAAGCCAGGAGAGGAUCCAGCCAGGUUGUCUCUUGGACGCCCAGGUGUGAAAAGUGAAUGACAGGUGAGGCCUCACCCCCAGUUCUGCGACGAGGCAUCAAGACU